rnacentral:lncRNA from 1 species
GGUGCCUUUUGGGCACAAGGUCCCGGAGUGCAGGCGGCGUGGCCGACUGGCGGUCCUCCUGGAUCCAGGCUGGGAGAUGCCCGACGUCGUCCACGGUGACGCGGGCCGUCGGGGACCUGGGGAGGUCCUGGCAGCAGUCCCCGGCUGAGCACCCCCGCAGCAGGCUGCUUCUGAGCAUCCCAGGCAGCGUUCCGAGUGCAGCGCCCGAUCCCUGAAUCCGAGACACGGAUGAAUGUCUGGGUGUCGCCCUCGAAUUCCAACUCACACGAGUGCGACUUGUCUACACAGCCUCCGUGUGCGCGGGGCCGAGCCGUGGCCUCCGGCUGCGCACGGGGGAGGACAAGCAGCCACGGUAGCCGGCUUUACCACGUAAUUCCCCGCCGGUUGCCUGUGCUGUGCGAGGCUCCAGAGAUGCUCCAGGCCAAUGGCCCAGUGCCUUGUAUUUCACGGACACAGACGAGAAGCUCAGAGAGGGUUGUCAGCGGCUCCGUGCUUCCGCGCUUCCGUUGUGUUCAUCUUUGUGUCCCCGGGCCCCGCAUAGUGCCUGAGGGAACGGGGUCGAUUCACCAAGAGUCCCCAGCUGGCAGUACCCCGAGGAGGGGACACCCGCGGUGCCCAGGCUGAGAUCCGCCGCCGGAUGCCCGAGUGCAUGCGGGGGGCCUGGGCCUCUUGCCAGGGGACGGCCACCCCGAGGAGGGGACACCCGCCGUGCCUGGGCCUGAGAUCCUCUGCCGGAUGCCCGAGUGCAUGCGGGGGGCCUGGGCCUCCUGCCAGGGGACCCGCCGACCCGGGCCUUCCUCACAGGCUGGCGAGGCCCAUCCCCGGGCCAGCAGGGUGCUCCCGAUGGCACAGCCUGGAACCCGGCUCACCGACGCACAAUUAGCCAGCUUUUUGUCUUUGGAUCUGCCUGGAAGUGACUCACAGGCUGGAAAAAACCUUCUGGAAACAAAUUGGGGGGGGGGGGGGGAGGUGAAGNGUGGGGGGGGGGGGAGUAGGUUAAGUCACUCCAGCGUUUUCUUAGAUAACGUGGAUGUGCUGCCCCGUAAACGUUGAACACCACGCAUUUCCUCAGCCUCCCUCCGACAAAGACCCAGGGGGAUUAGUAAGCCUGACGAUUCACUCAUUUUCUCCAAGAAUUUUAUUAAAUGCAAUUUAGAGGGGAUAAAGUUUCUUGUCUUUUUUCUUUCUAUUCACUUGAAUAAACCCGAAUCACCACUGGGGCA